rnacentral:rRNA from 1 species
ACUCUAAGCGGUGGAUCACUCGGCUCAUGGGUCGAUGAAGAACGCAGCAAACUGUACGUCAUCGUGUGAACUGCAGGACACAUGAGCAUCGACAUUUUGAACGGAUAUCGCAGUCCAUGCUGUUAUCUACUUUUCUAAUUAAUUUUAUAGUGCUGCUUGGAGUACAUAUGGUUGAGGGUAGUAAGACUAUGCUUAAGUUGUUUAUAAAUUUUAUAAGCAUAUGGUAUAUUAUUGGACAAAAUAAUAAUUUUUUUAUUCAAUAUAUUAAAAACAUUAUCUCACAUUUGGAUGUGAAAAACGAAGAGAAAUAUUUUCUUUUUCGAUCAAGUAAUACUGAAAAAUGACUAGCAUAAAAAAUUUAAUUAUUUUUCAUCUAGAAUUGUCUCUUAUUAAUGAUUCGGAAAUAGAAAAAACUUGGUUAUGUUAUUAUUCUUCGUUGGUUCGUUUAAUGGAAAACACUUUCUUACAAGAAAUAAUUUAAUAAAAUGUUUUUAUCAUUAUAUAUAAAGAAUUAAUGGCAAGAAAAAGUUAUAUACAACCUCAACUCAUAUGGGACUACCCCCUGAAUUUAAGAAUAUUAAUUAGGGGAAGAAAAGAAACUAACAAGGAUUUUCUUAGUAGCGGCGAGCGAAAAGAAAACAGUUCAGCACUAAGUCACUUUGUCUAUAUGGCAAAAGUGAGAUGCAGUGUAUGGAGCGUCAAUAUUCUAGUAUGAGAAAUUAACGAUUUAGGUCCUUCUUAAAUGAGGCCAUUUACCCAUAGAUGGUGCCAGGCCCGUAUAACGUUAAUGAUUACUAGAUGAUGUUUCCAAAGAGUCGUGUUGCUUGAUAGUGCAGCACUAAGUGGGUGGUAAACUCAAUCUAAAACGAAAUAUAACCAUGAGACCGAUAGUAAACAAGUACCGUGAGGGAAAGUUGAAAAGAACUCUGAAUAGAGAGUUAAACAGUACGUGAAACUGCUUAGAGGUUAAGCCCGAUGAACCUGAAUAUCCGUUAUGGAAAAUUCAUCAUUAAAAUUGUAUUAUUUAAAUAAUAUUAUGAGGAUAGUGUGCAUUUUUUCCAUAUAAGGACAUUAAAACCUAUUAGCAUAUACAAAAUUUAUCAUAAAAUAUAACUUAUAGUUUAUUCCAAUUAAAUUGCUUGCAUUUUAACACAGAAUAAAUGUUAUUAAUUUGAUAAAGUGCUGAUAGAUUAAUAUGAUUACAGUGCGUUAAUUUUUCGGAAUUAUAUAAUGGCAUAAUUAUCAUUUAUUUUUGUGUUUAUUAUAUGCACUUGUAUGAUUAACAAUGCGAAAGAUUCAGGAUACCUUCGGGACCCGUCUUGAAACACGGACCAAGGAGUCUAACAUAUGUGCAAGUUAUUGGGAUAUAAACCUAAUAGCAUAAAGUUGACUAAUAAUGGGAUUAGUUUUUUAACUAUUUAUAGCUAAUUAACACAAUUCCGGGGCGUUCUAUAUAGUUAUGUAUAAUGUAUAUUUAUAUUAUUUAUGCCUCUAACUGGUAUUUACCUUGAGCAUAUAUGCUGUGACCCGAAAGAUGGUGAACUAUACUUGAUCAGGUUGAAGUCAGGGGAAACCCUGAUGGAAGACCGAAACAGUUCUGACGUGCAAAUCGAUUGUCAGAAUUGAGUAUAGGAGUGAAAGAACAAUCGAACCAUCUAGUAGCUAGUUCCUUCCGAAGUAUCCCUCAGGAUAGCUGGGUCAUUUUAAUAUUAUAUAAAAUAAUCUUAUCUUGUAAAGCGAAUGAUUAGAGGCAGAUAUCAUGAAAGGCGUUGCUUGCUUAAAACAGCAGGACGGUGAUCAUGGCAGUCGAAAACCGCUAAGGAAUGAGUAACAACUCACCUGCCGUAGCAACUAGCCCUUAAAAUGGAUGGCGCUUAAUUUGUAUACCUAUACAUUACCGCUAAAGCAGAUGAUUUAUAUUACUUGUGAUAUACAUUUUGAAACUUUAGUGAAUACGAAGGUACAAUGAUAUGCGUAGAAGUGUUUGGCGUUAGCCUGCAUGGAGCUGCCAUUGGUACAGAUCUCGGUGGUAGUAGCAAAUAAUCGAUAGAAUAAUGUAGGUAUGGGAAGUCGGCAAUUUAGAUCCGUAACUUGGGGAUAAGGAUUGGCUCUGAAGAUUUAUAUAGUCGAGCUUGAUUGGGAAACAAUAACAUGGUUUAUGUUCUCGUUCUGGGUAAAUAGAGUUUCUAGAAUUUAUGUUAGUUACUUGUUCCCCGGAUAGUUUAGUUACGUAGCCAAUUGUGGAACUGUCUUGCUAAAAUUUUUAAGAAUACUUUUUGGGGGAAACCAAUUAGUUCUUAUUAAUUAUAACGGUUAUCAAUUAACAAUCAAUUCAGAACUGGCACGGACUUGGGGAAUCCGACUGUCUAAUUAAAACAAAGCAUUGUGAUGGCCCUAGCGGGUGUUGACACAAUGUGAUUUCUGCCCAGUGCUCUGAAUGUCAAAGUGAACUAAUUCAACGGCGGGAGUAACUAUGACUCUCUUAAGGUAGCCAAAUGCCCGGCAAGCAAGCACUCGAAUUGCUACCGGGGUGGUUGCUAUGUACC